rnacentral:rRNA from 1 species
AAUGAUGUCAGUAACUCCCAACCCAAUGUGAACGUUACCAAACUGUUGCCUCCGGCGGGAUCUCUGCCCCGGGUGCGUCGCAGCCCCGGACCAAGGCGCCCGCCGGAGGACCAACCUAAAACUCUUUUUGUAUACCCCCUCGCGGGUUUUUUAUAAUCUGAGCCUUCUCGGCGCCUCUCGUAGGCGUUUCGAAAAUGAAUCAAAACUUUCAACAACGGAUCUCUUGGUUCUGGCAUCGAUGAAGAACGCAGCGAAAUGCGAUAAGUAAUGUGAAUUGCAGAAUUCAGUGAAUCAUCGAAUCUUUGAACGCACAUUGCGCCCGCCAGUAUUCUGGCGGGCAUGCCUGUCCGAGCGUCAUUUCAACCCUCGAACCCCUCCGGGGGGUCGGCGUUGGGGAUCGGCCCUCCCUUAGCGGGUGGCCGUCUCCGAAAUACAGUGGCGGUCUCGCCGCAGCCUCUCCUGCGCAGUAGUUUGCACACUCGCAUCGGGAGCGCGGCGCGUCCACAGCCGUUAAACACCCAACUUCUGAAAUGUUGACCUCGGAUCAGGUAGGAAUACCCGCUGAACUUAAGCAUAUAAAAAACCGGGGGAGAAAAAA